UACGUAGGGGGCGAGCGUUGUCCGGAUUUAUUGGGCGUAAAGAGCGUGUAGGCGGCCAGGUAGGUCUGCUGUGAAAACUCGAGGCUCAACCUCGAGACGUCGGCGGAAACCAUCUGGCUAGAGUCCGGAAGAGGAGAGUGGAAUUCCUGGUGUAGCGGUGAAAUGCGCAGAUAUCAGGAAGAACACCCGUGGCGAAGGCGGCUCUCUGGGACGGUACUGACGCUGAGGCGCGAAAGCCAGGGGAGCGAACGGG
rnacentral:rRNA from 1 species